CGCCCAGACUCCUACGGGAGGCAGCAGUGAGGAAUAUUGGUCAAUGGCCGGAAGGCUGAACCAGCCAAGCCGCGUGAAGGACGAAGGUGCCAAGCCUUGUAAACUUCUUUUGUCAAGGGACAAAAUCAGGCUCGAGAGCCUGACCGAGGGUACUUGAAGAAAAAGCAUCGGCUAGCUCCGUGCCAGCAGCCGCGGUAAUACGGAGGAUGCGAGCGUUAUCCGGAUUUAUUGGGUUUAAAGGGUGCGUAGGCGGACUGUUAAGUCAGCGGUAAAAGCCCGGGGCUCAACGUGGGAACUGCCUUUGAAACUGGCAAACUGGAGUGUGUGAGAGGAUAGUGGAAUUCCAGGUGUAGGAGUGAAAUCCGUAGAUAUCUGGAGGAACAUCAGUGGCGAAGGCGACUAUCUGGCACAUAACUGACGCUGAGGAGCGAAAGCGUGGGUAGCAAACAGGAUUAGAUACCCGGGUAAA
rnacentral:rRNA from 1 species